AUACGGAGGAUCCGAGCGUUAUCCGGAUUUAUUGGGUUUAAAGGGUGCGCAGGCGGCCAUUUAAGUCAGCGGUUAAAUCGUGGGGCUCAACCCCAUCCUGCCGUUGAUACUGGGUGGCUUGAUUGCGGUCGAGGUUGGCGGAAUUCGUUGUGUAGCGGUGAAAUGCAUAGAUAUGACGAAGAACACCGAUUGCGUAGGCAGCUGACCAGACCGCAAAUGACGCUCAUGCACGAAAGUGCGGGGAUCGAACAGGAUUAGAUACCCUGGUAGUCCGCACAGUAAACGAUGAAUACUUGUUUUCGGCGAUAUAAUGUCGGAGGCAAAGCGAAAGCGAUAAGUAUUCCACCUGGGGAGUACGCCGGCAACGGUGAAACUUAAAGGAAUUGACGGGG
rnacentral:rRNA from 1 species